UAUGGGAUAUAAAAUACAACAUAAGGUGAAAUGUGUAACAAAAUUGAUAGUAAUCCAAAAUAUCAACGUACAAUGUAGGCUACAGCAUUUUACAAGGCAUUAUCACUGUGUAUUUAGAAGUAGUAGCAUAGUUCUGGUUUAGCUUCUAAAUCCAGUUUUUAGUUUAUCUAUAAUUUGACAUGUCUUAAUCCCCUGGUCUCUACUGUAUACCUCCUAUAUUUUAUUAUUCAGCAGUAUAUCACUUUUUGCACUAUAUUCACAUUUUUAAUAGUCCUGUAUCUCAGUUGUUACCCUGCACUAUAUUCAUUUUUUCUUCAUCUCCUUGUAUUUUUAUAUCUGGUAU